rnacentral:rRNA from 1 species
UACGUAGGGUGCAAGCGUUGUCCGGAAUUAUUGGGCGUAAAGAGCUCGUAGGCGGUCUGUCGCGUCGAAUGUGAAAACCCGGGGCUCAACCCCGGGCCUGCAUUCGAUACGGGCAGACUAGAGUUCGGUAGGGGAGUCUGGAAUUCCUGGUGUAGCGGUGAAAUGCGCAGACAUCAGGAGGAACACCGGUGGCGAAGGCGGGUCUCUGGGCCGAUACUGACGCUGAGGCGCGAAAGCGUGGGGAGCAAACAGG